rnacentral:lncRNA from 1 species
CCAGCCUAGGAAAAAAAUGACACUAGAAUAUGCUAGAAACCCAAAGGGUAAUGGGCCUCACAGUUAAGGAAUGACUUGCCUUGAAAAUCCUGAUCCAAGAAGAAAGCCCAAAUAUGGUCUAGAUAUGGUGCCUGUGGGGUAUAAAUGUGUCACAAUUCACAUAUAGGAUACUUGGUCCCCAUCUCCACUGGUGUUCCAAGGUCUUGGGAUAAACCAAUCGAAG